UUCUCCGCUGAGCUCCCAGACAAUGCUUUUUACAUCAGUGAAACUCUGCAGUAUCUCGUGCAAUUAGACCUUGGAAACAGAUAUUGAUAUUUCAUUACGUUUAGGAUUUUUUUAAAUGCAUUUAAUGGGUGCAUAUUAUUUCAAAAGUUAUUACCUAUUACAUGGUGUACCCAAUGACUUACUUUCUUAACUAGAACCUGGCACAGCUGAGCGCAAGCCCAUGUGUCUGGUAAUUUUCCCUCACCAUCUUAUUUUAGUGCUCAGGAUGUUUCAGAUGAAGUCUUAAGGAGCUGUAGUGUCCGUCCUGCCAGAAGGAAUGUCUCUGCUUGGAACAAUCCUUAUUGACAUGGCAGCUGUGUGAGGACCAGCACAGAGGCUUAAACUGGCUCUAAAAAUCAGUUAAUACCCUAAAGUCUGGAGCAAGUGCGCAGAAUUACAACGUGUAUGGGGGGGAGGGGAGCGGCUGUAAGUACAGCUACGUCUCUUAAAAGACAAACGGUAAGUUGAGCAUGGGGUGUACUUUAUAAUUAAAAAUUUUGUAUAAGGAAAUGAGGCAUAGCCUGGCCAAGGAGGGCGGGUAUAAAUUCACAGGGGAUGACCGGGAGCAGAGAGAAGGCAAUUAGACACCGAUGUGACCACCUUCAUUUCGACUUCCUCCAGACCUCUCAACCCACUUCUUUUCUUCUCUCUUCAAAAGGAAUGAGGACAUACAAGACGUUGGCGACAACUGGGAAGACAACCGUGUGGGUGCUGUGAUUGUGGGCCCUGGGGUCAGUGAGAAGUGGUGCUCCUUCUCGGAGGCUGUGCCGGGCCGCCAGCCUUUCUCCUUAUGUUUAAUCCAACAGAUCCCGUAACUAGAAAAGAAAAGUGCUAUUCGCUUUGUACCAUCGAGCCUACCUGCUAUUUCGAUCUCUUGGUCAGGGUAACCAAUUGUUAUAAAUGUUAAUUAUUGGCUCGGAUAUAUAAGGUUUCCCAAAAUGGAACCUUUCACUGAAAACCACUAAAAGAGGUAAAAUGACAUGAAUUUACAAACCACAUAAACCAAAUGAUCCAUUUUAAAUCGCGCACAGAAAGGUUAGAGUUGUUCUAGUAACUUAAAACCUUUGCUGUCAAUGCAAAUCACACGAAAAACAGAGAUGCGUCGGAGAUUUAAAGGGAACGAGCAACUCCAGCUGCUGCCCCCGCCGCUCCGUGGUUCCCGAGGGUAACGCGGCUGGCGAGGGGCGCCCGACGCCAGGUUUCGGCUCUUCUGUGCCUCUGCUGCGCAGAGCGAGGUGUUUUGGGGGCUCACGGCCUGCUUUCUUGGAAUUACUUCGCCAUCAAGAACGACAGCGGGGAUCCUGCUCUAGCUACGUAUAUUUGGAAGGGAAAGGCAACAGGAGGCGUUUCUUUAACAAAUUAGCGUCGUCGCUCUGCGGCAGUGCAGAGACUGCCCAAAUCCUGGCUGAAGUGACAGCAUCCAUCUUUUUUCCUCUGCUUGGUCGGAAACUCCGGGUGCCCUCGACCCUUGGGAUGCGGGGCUCCCCGAGGCCAGCGGCCGGAGCAGCCGCCCACCUGCCUCCUGGGGGACGCCGCUCCCCGCGAGGUCUGAAUAGGCCGAGGGCUCAGGCAGGGCGAUUUGCGGACCCGGAGAAGAGAAACCCAAAACCAGUCCAUUAGUAAAUGAGUUUUGUGUUGUCAAGGUUCUUUCCCAUCCACUUGCUGUUCUGAAAAAUAGAUCACGUUUCGUUAUCUUUAGUGGGAAUCUGCAACGUGACACCGGAUCCGCGCGGCCCCCGCCUGUCUCCCUCCCUCUCUUCCAGCCUCGCUCCGCCGGGCCAAGGGGAGCCGGCCGGCUUCCUCGGCUUAUUUCUGAACAAUGAAGAUUUGUCUGUUCCCCUAAUAUAUUUAUGUAUGGAGGGAAGGAGGGAGUUUUCUCCUGGAAGCGGGAAGCGCGCGAGCAGGGCCUCCCGCUUCCUUGGUGCGAAAACCCAGCGCCAGCCCAGGACGCCGGCCGGCCGCCCCCCGCCCACACCUGGACAAACAGAGCGGGCCGCGCGCGGCUGGCUGCUGAAAACCCCGCCGCCCCGCGCGCCUCCUGAAUUACAGUCUGCACAUUGUCCCGGGGUCAGGGAAGGGAGAGACAGAGACUGACUGAGGGACACCGCUGCGAGGGAGCUCAGAGUGAAGAGGGACAGAACUGGGGGGUGUGUAUUUGGAGGGGUUACACUCUCCCUCUUUGUGUGUCCCCACGUCUGGUCUCUCUCUGAAUGUGUGUCUUUCUCUGUGUCUCUUUCUAUCUCAUUCUCGUUUCACUCUGAAAGAAGAAACUCGUUCAUUCUGUGUGAACCUCUGGUUCUCAUUCUUUCUCUCUUAUCUCUCUCUCACUCUCGCUCUUUCUCUCACUGUCUCAUUCUUCUCAUUGUUUCUCCUCUCUGUCUCUCUCUCCUCUGUCUCUGUCUCUCUCUCCCCUACCCCCACCCCUGGAUCUCUGUAUUUCUCUCUCCGGUUCCCCUCCCUCCCGCAUGGCUCUGGGUGCCUGUGCCUAUUUCUUUCUGCCCGGGACCAGGCGCUCCGAAGUUUCACAGACACAGCGUGCUGAUGUCGGGCACCCAGGCAGCGCCGGGCGAGAAGACUCUGAAGUCCCGCCAGGGCGUCGGCUCCGUCAGCGGGACCCCGCCAUGCUGAGUGGAGGCGUCGUCUAAGGGUGGCACGGGUAGGCGGAAGAAGGUGGGUUGGCCACCUGGAGGAAAAGGGCCGACUUCAAUUGCGCUCUGAGAAGGCUCAGGCUCAGGGACUCGCCAAGCUCCAGACUUAGCCAGAAGACGCACUCAACAUCAGAUGCCAAGCACCUUUCUGGAAAGUGAAGGAGAGUGUUAUAAGAAUCUGUUCUUACGAAUUUAAGAUACCCUUGCCCCCUUCUCUUUAUUAAUAUUGCUUUAGGGCAAGUUUACAAAAAGAUACUCUCCAAGAGUCCUUGUUUUCCAUUGAAUGUCCAAUAAACUUUUUUCUCAACUAAUGUACAUCCUGAAUACCGCAUCUGUCUAAGCUAAGAAGAAUUUCCUUUUGGGAGGUGAAAGCCUGCAGCUCCUCCUGUUCAGAGGAAAGUGCUAGUGACGGUAAUGCAGGGUGACACUAAAUAAACAGUUAGGGUGGACUGGAAAGAUGGAGUUAAUUAUCCAGUGAGCUGCGUUUCAGCCCAGACCAUCAGGGGCUGAUUUGUUUUGGCUCAUAGUCGUAGGAAGGAGACAAACCACUCUCUUCUCUACAUCUCUUAGGGAUCCUGAUCACUGGUUUCUCAAACAAAACAAAAUACAAAAACCACUACCCAGGUAUCACUGUUUCAAUUAAAAUUUGGUUUACUGCUCCUCUGCAGACUGCAAAAAUGUCCACUCCCUUGCCCCAUGGCCCUGGAGAGAAGACCCCAAAUGGCCCAAAAAUGCACCCCCCAAAUCUUUUUUUAGAGGCCCAUUGGUAAAGAAAGUGGACAUCCAGCACCCCUCCUCAGCUCUUCACUUGGACUCUUACAAUAAGUUUAUGUAACUACGUGUUUAGAAAAACUAAGGUGUUGGCCCGGUUUUCGCGACGGUUUUACUUCACCCCUCCAAAAAAAUCAGGCUUCGUGGAAUUUCAGAUGCAAUUAGAUUUAUUGUUCGCGUGAUUCACUGACUAUCCGGUUUCCUCAGAGCGUUUGAAAAUGAGAUCAUGGAAACACAGACACCAGACUCUUUGCUAUUGGAAGAAGCCAAGAGGUCAUCAGUUGAACCUGCCACUCUAAGCAGAAUCUCUCAGAAAACGUGUUUGAUGGGACAGCCCUAGCUUGGCUUAACCACUCGAGCAUAGGAGAACUCACUACCUCACAUCUGUUUUGCAUGUUUCAAGACUCACCAAAACAGGAAAGGUGUACAUGGCGGAAACAAAGUCACGUGGCAUCCAUGGUCCUGUACAAACUAGAUAAAACGUGAGAGAAACACAGAGUGGAUCUUCUUAUUACUCAUUGGUCAAGUAGAAAGUUAGAGUAAACUGUACUAGCUAAACUGCUUUCUCAAGUUUCCAUUUUAGGCAUUUCUACUGUUU
ensembl:lncRNA